rnacentral:lncRNA from 1 species
AUGAAUUGUAGUACCCAAAUCAAUUCCAAUAACAUCACUACCAGCAGGCCUAGAACUGUAGUACAAAAGCAAUUUUACAAUAAGCAAAUUUGAUGAAAAAUUGAAACUGCCAUACAGUACAGAACAAAGGCAAAACAAAGCACCUGAAAGGUCAGAGCCAAACUUGCCCACUUUUGAGCUGCAUAUGAUGGCUUAGUGCUGCCUAAUCAGAUAACCUAGUUGCAGCAAUGGAUUGUGAAGACGCCUUGACUCUUAUAGUCUUUGAUUAAGCUUCUUCUAUUUCUUCGAUAACACCUC